CCUACGGGCGGCCGCAGUGGGGAAUAUUGCACAAUGGGCGCAAGCCUGAUGCAGCCAUGCCGCGUGUGUGAAGAAGGCCUUCGGGUUGUAAAGCACUUUCAGCGGGGAGGAAGGCGGUGAGGUUAAUAACCUCAUCGAUUGACGUUACCCGCAGAAGAAGCACCGGCUAACUCCAUGCCAGCAGCCGCGGUAAUACGGAGGGUGCAAGCGUUAAUCGGAAUUACUGGGCGUAAAGCGCACGCAGGCGGUCUGUCAAGUCGGAUGUGAAAUCCCCGGGCUCAACCUGGGAACUGCAUUCGAAACUGGCAGGCUAGAGUCUUGUAGAGGGGGGUAGAAUUCCAGGUGUAGCGGUGAAAUGCGUAGAGAUCUGGAGGAAUACCGGUGGCGAAGGCGGCCCCCUGGACAAAGACUGACGCUCAGGUGCGAAAGCGUGGGGAGCAAACAGGAUUAGAUACCCCAGUAGUC
rnacentral:rRNA from 1 species